rnacentral:rRNA from 1 species
UCGAGGAUCUUCGGCAAUGGGCGAAAGCCUGACCGAGCGACGCCGCGUGGAUGAUGAAGGCCUUCGGGUUGUAAAAUCCUGUCGAGGGGGAUCAAGGGCAACUUGAGUGAUCCCUGGAGGAAGCACGGGCUAAGUUCGUGCCAGCAGCCGCGGUAAGACGAACCGUGCAAACGUUAUUCGGAAUCACUGGGCAUAAAGGGCGCGUAGGCGGCUUUCUAAGUCAGGGGUGAAAUCCGGCAGCUCAACUGUCGCAGUGCCUUUGAUACUGGAGAGCUCGAGGGAGGUAGGGGUCUGUGGAACUUCCGGUGGAGCGGUGAAAUGCGUUGAUAUCGGAAGGAACGCCGGUGGCGAAAGCGACGGACUGGAUCUCUUCUGACGCUGAGGCGCGAAAGCCAGGGGAGCAAACG